UGGGGUGUGUGUGUGUGUGUGUGUGUGUGUGUGUGUGUGUAGAUCUAUAUACAGAUAUAUAUACACACAUAUACACACACAACAUCA
rnacentral:miRNA from 1 species